rnacentral:rRNA from 1 species
UAAUACCAAAAACAUUUAAACCCCAUUACCGGUAUUGAAUAAUUUUAUAUAAGUAUAAAAAAUACAAUGCUAAAACUAGUAAUAAGAAAUACGCAUUUCUCCUAAAUAUAAGCAUAAAUCAGCAAGAACCACUCCCUGACCAAUAUUGUACAUGAAAGUAAUAACUCAACCAGAAAAUCUUACUUCACUAAGCAUUAACCUAACACAAGAACAUUUAAGGAAAGAUUAAACCAGGGGAAAGGAACUCGGCAAAUCUUAGUCUCGCCUGUUUACCAAAAACAUCGCCUCUUGAUUACCAUAAGAGGUCCAGCCUGCCCAGUGACCUAUUCAACGGCCGCGGUACCCUAACCGUGCGAAGGUAGCAUAAUCACUUGUUUCUUAAAUAGGGACUAGUAUCAACGGCAUCACGAAGACUACACUGUCUCCCCCCUAAAAUCAAUGAAACUGAUCUUCUCGUGAAGAAGCGAGAAUACAAAUAUAAGACGAGAAGACCCCAUGGAGCUUUAAAUGAACCUCAACGCUAUCCUAUACCAUAGAAACUGAGCGCUAAUGAUGUGUAAUUUUCGGUUGGGGUGACCGCGGAAUAAAACAAAACCUCCGCAAUGAAUGUAACAAAACACUAAUAAAAGAACUACAGUUCUAAUAAUCAAUAAAUUGACAUAAUUGAUCCAAACACCUGAUCAAUGAACCAAGUUACCCUGGGGAUAACAGCGCAAUCCAUUUAAAGAGCCCCUAUCAACAAAUGGGUUUACGACCUCGAUGUUGGAUCAGGGUAUCCCAGUGGUGCAGCCGCUACUAAU